GUGGGCUGGGAUCACGCAUUCGAGAUGCAGCGGAGCCUCGGCCGACGUCGAGGUUACACGCUUAUUUGGUGGGCAGCAGGGCCAUGGCUCAUGCGUGACCCUCCAUGCUGCCCCCGAUCUCUCUCUCUCUCUUCAGGGCCAUAGCUUAAGAUAUCUAUCUAUCUUUGGAUUGCUGGAUGGGCUAAACUCUUCAGCCAGCUCUCGUGGAGUGGUCCCAGCUUCGCCACCACACACUCACACACCCCCUACGACUAUGAGGAGGACUCUCCGAGCUUGACUACGGCGACCUUUGCACUAGAUCCGGCCGGUGCAAGUGGGAUUCUUUCACCGUUGCCGAGAGUGACUUCCUCCUCCUCCUCCUCCUCGUCGUCGUCGUCGUUCCUGGUCAAUUGUACUUCUUUCUA